UUAGCGUUCUUGAUACAUGGAUGAGCUCUGAGCUAAUGAAGCUUUCUUUAAGGAUCUUUAUAUCUUCCAAAUAAAUUGCAAAUGCUAGUCAUUCAUCAGGUUCUGAAACCAUCUUCACCAAUUGAGAACAAUCCAUUGCAAAUGUGACUUGAUACUGACGCAACUUCCUCAUACACUCCAUUGCCCACAGUAAGGCUUCCAUCUAUGCAUGAAGAAGAGAGAGACUAGCCCUGACAUUUUGU
rnacentral:lncRNA from 1 species